rnacentral:rRNA from 1 species
GAUGAACGCUGGCGGCGUGCUUAACACAUGCAAGUCGAACGAGGUCCAACCUUCGGGUGAAGACCUAGUGGCGAACGGGUGAGUAACACGCGGGCAACCUGCCCCUCUCUCUGGGCUAACCCCCGGAAACGGGAGCUAAUACCGGAUACUCCGAUCGGGUCACAUGGCCUGGUCGGGAAAGGUCCGCCGGAGAGGGAUGGGCCCGCGGUCCAUUAGCUUGUUGGUGAGGUAACGGCUCACCAAGGCGACGAUGGAUAGCCGAGCUGAGAGGCUGAUCGGCCACACUGGGACUGAGACACGGCCCAGACUCCUACGGGAGGCAGCAGUGGGGAAUUUUGGACAAUGGGCGAAAGCCUGAUCCAGCAACGCCGCGUGCACGAUGAAGGUCUUCGGAUCGUAAAGUGCUUUUCUGAGAGAUGAGAAAGGACAGUAUCUCAGGAAUAAGUCUCGGCUAACUACGUGCCAGCAGCCGCCGUAAAAC